GGGCGCUUAGCUCAGCGGCAAGAGCGCUGCUCUUACACAGCAGGGGUCACUGGUUCGAAUCCAGUAGCGCCCA
rnacentral:tRNA from 1 species